rnacentral:rRNA from 1 species
GAGACACGGUCCAGACUCCUACGGGAGGCAGCAGUGGGGAAUAUUGCACAAUGGGCGCAAGCCUGAUGCAGCCAUGCCGCGUGUAUGAAGAAGGCCUUCGGGUUGUAAAGUACUUUCAGCGGGGAGGAAGGCGAUAAGGUUAAUAACCUUGUCGAUUGACGUUACCCGCAGAAGAAGCACCGGCUAACUCCGUGCCAGCAGCCGCGGUAAUACGGAGGGUGCAAGCGUUAAUCGGAAUUACUGGGCGUAAAGCGCACGCAGGCGGUCUGUCAAGUCGGAUGUGAAAUCCCCGGGCUCAACCUGGGAACUGCAUUCGAAACUGGCAGGCUAGAGUCUUGUAGAGGGGGGUAGAAUU